AAAUGUUCAUUGCUUUCACUUGGAGUGGGAGUGCAGUGACCACCUGCACUGGUCAGCUCUCUGCAGUGCUCCAUUGCCUUUGUUGACCAGAUGUCAUGGUUUAACCCCAGCCAGCAACCAGGCACCAUGCAGCCGCUCGCUCACUCUGAACUUCAGCUCAAGUGCAGAGUGAAGUUCCAGGCUGUCCAGUACAGCAGAACAGAAACAGCAACAACACACUAGCCACCUGCCAGCCCAGCAGACAGCCCAGGGCCCAUUGAACUGUCCUGCAUGGCAGCAGACUGCAUACCAGGAUCUUCCCUUGAAUAGGAAAUGCCUCCCAAGGUUACUCCUUGUGGCUGAGAGAUUCCUUGCUGCAACAGAUUCUUGGCGUUAACAUUUUAGCAUGCAUAUUUGAAUGAGAAACUGGACAGAAUACUAUAUAAACUUCUUCCACAGACUCAGCCAAUUACUCCACUCUACUGGGAAGUUAUAAG